rnacentral:lncRNA from 1 species
AAGAUUUUUAUUUACUUAUUUGAGAGAGAGAGACAGCAUGAGCAGGGGAAGGGGCAGAGGGAGAAGCAGACUCCCCACUGAGCAGGGAGCCCAACUCUGGGCUUGAUCCCUGGGCUCGAUCUCAGGACCCCAGGAUCAUAACCCGAGCCAAAGGCAGAUGCUUAACUGACUGAGCCACCCAGAUGCCCAUUGAGCUUCACAUUUUAAAGAAACAAAACCUGAAUGGCACAACUAACCUGAAGAUCUCUUCUCUGUGAACCAAAGAAAGUCCCCUGACCACUCCCCUUGCCCACUUCUGCAGAGGUAGCUGAUGUCCUCUGUUUGGAGCACAUCCUUCCAGAACUUUUGCUAUGCAUGUAGUUACCUUUAUAGGCCUAUAAACAGUAUAAAGAAUUAUUUGGACCCUAGAAAAUGGGAUCAUAUUAAAUUGCAAAAUUUUUUAAAUUUUAGUUUCACGACACCCAAAGGCACAAUAAUAGCUGCAGUGAACUCUGUUGUACCCAGCAGCUACCCCAAGAAUUAGGACAUUCUGGAUCUGAAGGAAGCCCAACUCGGGGGCUUCUAUCUCUUCCCCAGCCCUUCUCUCCUCACAUACACACUGAAUUCACCCUGAAGUGAAUGGUUCCUACACCAUGCUCCUAUCCAUGUAGGUGCCUACAAAGGGCAGGAAUGCUGGCCCACGUUUUUAAACCUUCUUUACACAACGGGGAUCACGCGGCCUGUCGCUUUCUGCAAUUCUCUUUCCCCAGAUGGAAACUCUAAAGCAGACUCUUCUUUGCUGAGUUGCCAAAUCACAGGCUUUUCUGAUCCCAGUCAUGGGCCAAGGCUCUCAGAGCUGGGAGGGGCCCGGUAGGCUGGUGCACAGUUGUCCUGGAGCCUGUACCCACCCCCUUCCCCGCCGCCGCCGUCCCCGCUCCUCCCAUGCAGGCAGCAAAGGAAGGCAGCUACAGCAAUUCUCUCUGGGAAUGUGCGUGGACUCCCAGAAGCUAGGCAAACACCCUGCCUGCAGUGCACCGAAUCCCACCGAGGUGCCCUGUCUCCGGUCCUAGGGGAAAAGCCCAGCCCCUGCCCCAGGACAGCUUUAGCAGGGGUCCCCGACGGGCUGCUUGUCCAGGCCAUAUGGAGCCCUGGAAGCCCCGGGACUGGCAUCAGGGUCUGCUUUCCCACUGCUGUGCCAGGCUCGCCAAGGAUGGCCCUGGUCCACGGAGCUGGCCAAGGCCCGUGAGGAGCGAGGGGGCUGUGGCCAGGAGGACACUCCCUGCAGAAGCUCCCGAUGCAUCUCCCAGGCAGUACUGCUGGGGGUGAGGGGGUGUGGAAGUCGGAUACUGCUUGGUGUGCCCGCUUCUGUAGAGCUGGAACUCUGUCCUGCUUCCCCAAGGGCGAGAACCAGCAGGAGCCGAGGGUGCUGGGAACAGCCCCUGCCCUUCUGAGCCUCCACUCAUGAGCCUGCGAGGGGCCCCAAGUGGGACGGAGGGUGUGACCAUGAACAAGAUGCACCAUUAGCCAAGUGCUGACCGAUCUGAGGCCUGAGUGGGGCGAAGCAGGGCAGCCGCAGACCUUAGGCCAGGGCUGAUGGGUCUGCGUAUGCCCCGGCGUGUGGGAUCCCACUCUCUCCUAAUAGGUGCUAUGCCCCCUCCCGCUCCCCUUCACAAGGCCAAACACCUUCUCAGCAGGCAAGAUAGCCUCGUGGUCAAGGCUGGGAGCCACCUCUGCCUCCAGCCGUGCGACUCUGGGCAGGUGACCCAUCUAUGCAUGGAGGCUCACAGGGCAUCUCCCUCUACCUUCAGGUGAGGACUAAACACGUUUACAGGUGCAAAGCAGUCAGACCAUGGCCUACUACAGCCUGCUCGUGCCCAGAGUGUUAGCCAGUGUGGUUACUGGUCUCGAGCCUUCUGUGCUGCUGGGAAGUUCACAGAACUAGAAGUUCUCUGGGCACUGGAGUCUGAAGACCAGGCUAACACCUACCUCCCCUUGCCCCCAGCUGAAAUGAGAGCAUCCGGUAAGCCCCUAAACCAACUUGACAGCACCUCCCACUUCUCACCUUUCUGACUAAUUUGGCUACUUUUUUUUCAAAUCUAAAAAUAGUUUUUAUUUAAAAAGCUCAACUUUCUGCAUCGUGUCCUUGAUGGGCUAGUCACACCACCAAUACACAUUCAAAGAAAUAGGGUUAUGAAAGCAAAAUUGCUCUCCUGAGGCCCUCUGUUUGCCUCAGGAGUCUGAGGGUCCCCAGCUGGGAAACCCCGUGCUGAUGCUGAGGAUACCAGGCAGGGUGAGCACAGGGCAGGUGCCAGGGCUGGCAGUGAGAAAGGUGCUGCUCAGGAGCUGAGUCAGAACAGACCAGGGAUCUGCAUCGCAGUGUUUGGGGGAAGGCCACAGGGCUGUUGGUGGUCAUUGUGGGGUUGGAGACUGCUCUUUCCCCUUCCGGGAAGCCCUCCUGCCUGUCUCAGCUAGAAGGUUCUGUGUACGUGCAUGUGUGUGCCUGUCUAUCUCUCUGGGUCCAUACUUGGUGAUUUGCACCGCUCCUCAGAAACAGAGUGGAAAGGUCUCUGAUGUGUAUGAAGGGGGCAGCAACCCUCUAUGGCCACCUUAACACCCUUGCCAUAGGCUGGUCUACAGGGCCUUCUCCUCCUGGGUCUUUACGGGAAUCUACAGAGCCGUGCUGCACUGUGAGUGUGGUUGGGGACCAGUAAGUGUGGCCACCCACUGUCCAGCCCCUGGCUCCUAGGGCCAUGGGCAUUCCCCAACCACAGAGCAGCACUAAUUCUCCAUCCACUUGUAUCUUCACCCAUAGAAUGCUGACUGCUGCUUGCUUUGGGCCAGGUCCAGUGUAGGCAGUGAGGGUAGUAGGGUGAGAAAAAGCCACGUGUCCUGCCUGGAGGAAGGGAACAUGUCUGGAGGCCUGUGGUGGACAGCCAACCUCCCUCUCCCUGUCCAGCCGCCUCCCCUCCUGGCAAUCACCCCUGCACCUGCUCAGUGUCGGGGGCUCAGGCAGGGCCGAGGAACAGGCCUGGCACUCAAGACUUCACUGGCAUUCGGGAGAGAGCAACUCUGAACUUGAGCUCGAACUUCAACCUGAAAGAUUAUGAGCCGGCACUUUCCCUGGGGCCUCUUGAGAAGGAGGCCAGUGCAGGAGAAGCCAGACUCAGAGCAGAAGGACAGACUCAGUGUUGGCACUGGAGCCUCUGGAUGCAGCCAUGCCUGAAACUGUGAGGUUAUAUGAGCUGAUCAUUCCAUUUCAUUUGUGCCAGUUUGCAGUGGGCCCCGUGUCACUUACAACCGAGAGUCGUAGUACAUGUGCCUUCUAAUAGCUAUGAUUCCAAGUGAACACUAUAAUACUGAGUGAUUGCGGCGCCUGGGUGGCUCAGUGGUGGAGCAUCUGCCUUUGGCUCAGGGCAUGAUCCCGGGGUCCUGGGAUCGAGUCCUGCAUCAGGAUCCCCACAGGGAGCUUGCUUCUCCCUCUGCCUGUGUCUCUGCCUCUCUCUCUGUGUCUCUCAUGAAUAAAUAAAUAAAAUCUUUAAUAAUAAUAAUAAUAAUAAUAUUGAGUGAUUGUUGCAAUGGAAGCGUACACAGAAUACAAUGUAAUACGAGGGAAGAAGGGCCAAGUUUCUUUGAGGAAAAGGGAUACAGGAAGGAAAAAAGGGUAGGAUGUUGAUGCUGACUCUGAAAGGAUGACUAGCAGCUUGUCAUACAAGCAGAUGGAACAGCAUGUGCUAGGCCUGGAGGUGAGAAGCACAAUAAUGAGGGUUAACUUACCUAAGGGCGUGCAUGUCAUUGUGAGGGUAAUGGGGAGCCACAGAAGGAUUCUGGGUAGAGGAGAGACAUGUGACUAAGUAGAUCCCUUCAUGGGGUAUGCGUUCAAAGGGGAGAGGUUAGAGGCAGGGGGACAUUUCUUCUCUCCCCUCCCACCCUAUGCUGUAUGCGGGGCAGAGAGAAAGGCUGGCUGGCUGUCUACCACGGGGCUCAAGACAUGCCAAUCCCUUUCUCCAGAGGCGCACAGGAGGAGGUGCUCGGUGGACGGAGAGAUGACCUCUACCCCUUGUGGAUAUGCUGGGGCACAGUGCCUCGGGGACACCCAGGGGAAGCAUCCAGGAAGCUGUAAGAAUCUGGCUGGAGGCACAGCUCCAGGACAGAGGGGUGGGAAAGAAGAAGGAGGGAGGGGGGAGGGCUGUACAGAGACCUGGGCACAUAGACUUUUGUGGGAAGAAGUGAAAGCCAGCACAGGAGGUGGAGAAGAAGCCGCUGGAGCAGUGGGUAGAAACUUGGGGCGCUCCUUGCCCACAGGUGCAAGCUCCACACCUUCCCAUAACACAUCCCCAUGUGAGUGCACUCACCCCCAGCCCUGGGACUGGGCUCUGUUCCCAGCCCCAGGCCUCAGAUCCUUCCUGGGGAUCCACCAUCUGCCCUGCCUUGCCACAGUGAGUCAGUUAGGCCCUGCCCCUGCCGCCCCAGGGAUCUGAGAUAACACAAUGGCAUUUCUUAACAAAAAAAAAAAAAAAAAAAAAAGAA